UACGUAGGGUGCGAGCGUUGUCCGGAAUCAUUGGGCGUAAAGGGCUCGUAGGCGGUUUGUCGCGUCGGGAGUGAAAAUCCAGGGCUUAACUCUGGACUGGCUUCCGAUACGGGCAGACUAGAGGUAUGCAGGGGAGAACGGAAUUCCUGGUGUAGCGGUGAAAUGCGCAGAUAUCAGGAGGAACACCGGUGGCGAAGGCGGUUCUCUGGGCAUUACCUGACGCUGAGGAGCGAAAGUGUGGGGAGCGAACAGG
rnacentral:rRNA from 1 species